rnacentral:rRNA from 1 species
CCUACGGGGGGCAGCAGUGAGGAAUAUUGGUCAAUGGACGAGAGUCUGAACCAGCCAAGUAGCGUGAAGGAUGACUGCCCUAUGGGUUGUAAACUUCUUUUAUAUGGGAAUAAAACGUUCCACGUGUGGGAUUUUGUAUGUACCAUAUGAAUAAGGAUCGGCUAACUCCGUGCCAGCAGCCGCGGUAAUACGGAGGAUCCGAGCGUUAUCCGGAUUUAUUGGGUUUAAAGGGAGCGUAGGUGGAUUGUUAAGUCAGGUGUGAAAGUUUGCGGCUCAACCGUAAAAUUGCAGUUGAAACUGGCAGUCUUGAGUACAGUAGAGGUGGGCGGAAUUCGUGGUGUAGCGGUGAAAUGCUUAGAUAUCACGAAGAACUCCGAUUGCGAAGGCAGUUCACUGGACUGCAACUGACACUGAGGCUCGAAAGUGUGGGUAUCAAACAGGAUUAGAUACCCCAGUAGUC